rnacentral:rRNA from 1 species
UACGUAGGGCGCAAGCGUUGUCCGGAAUUAUUGGGCGUAAAGAGCUCGUAGGCGGCCAGUUGCGUCCGCUGUGAAAUCCCGGGGCUUAACCCCGGGCGUGCAGUGGAUACGGGCUGGCUAGAGGCAGGCAGGGGAGAACGGAAUUCCCGGUGUAGCGGUGAAAUGCGCAGAUAUCGGGAGGAACACCGGUGGCGAAGGCAGCUCGCUGGGACGGUACUGACGCUGAGGCGCGAAAGCGUGGGGAGCAAACAGG